AACAUCUUCGCGACCCUCCUCUCAGCAAACCUACUCUGUCCCCUGACUUCGAGAAGUCUUUAAUCAAAUUGCAUAACGUUACGCGAGAAGCAAUCUUCUCUUGUUCCCUUCUGCUAUUCAUUUCCGAAUAAUCUUGCGAAAUUAAUUUUACGAAAGUAAAUGAUGGCUUUAUAUAUAUAUAUAUAUUAACGAUCGAUGAAGAUUUCCAAUCUUUCUCUCGAUUAUUCUUUAAAGCCGACGAUGUGUAAUAAAUAUUUUCGACAUAAGCGAAUUUAUUAAUACGUACAAAAUGGAAAACGAUUAAUUUUAAUCCUUAUGGAGAUGUGCUGAUGAUAUAUUCAAUUUUUUAUUCCUUGAUAACGAAAUAAAAGGAUACAAACAAGGCGAUCGGAUAUAUAUUGAAAAUAUAUAAUCUUAAUUUCUUUUCAUUCAAAAAUACGGGUCCCAAUUAUAACCGAAUGAAAAAUGUGAAAAUGAAAAAUAGUACGAUAUUACGAUAAUUACAAUGAUUCGUUUGUAACGAUGGAAUAAAAACGUUGAUACAACAUACACGUGUAAAUGUUCUCGAGAACGAUUUCAUUCGAGAACAAUUAGCGGGCCUCUCGAAGGUCGUGCCGAAUCGAUGGGCAGAAGAUUUACAGUUACGGAUGACGCAGUUCUCCGUUGGCAAGAGACGGAUUAACUCGUAAUUCCGCGUUAAACGGCGUCUUCGUUUCCGCGUAAAACGUUUCCACCGCGCUCUUUAUUUGGAUCGUCGUCCGCGUGAUCAUCGCCGACCGAAGGCUCGUCCACACCGACGUCGUAAAAAAGAAUUAAAAAAAAAUUCUUCCAAGAUCGACUCCAACUCCGUUGGAAAUGAGUGCAAAAAAUAAUCGAACGAGAGGAAGAACACUCGUAAAUCGGGCUUUAGCUGCGUUUCAUCGGGGGCACAGCGGGGCAUCUCUCUUCUCUCCGCCACGGCACGUCGUAGGAAGGUUCCACGGCGACCGACGGCGGGUGUCGGUGGCACGGAGCGCUCGACGUCGACGUCGUACAAGGACAAGGCCACGUGGUCACGGGCGGCUGGGACGGACACGUAUACAGACAUAUCGGCAACCAGUCAUGCACCGCCACCACCACCACCACCACCAACGCGACUAUAAUCGGCAUCGUUUACCAUCGCUGACCCGCUACCAUCCGUGCGUCGAUUCUGAAACCAAUCGAAAUCCUGUCCUCUUGGGAUACGUGCGGUGAGCCGGGCUUGUCCUUUCUGGGGAGGGAGGGGGAAAUUAACCUCAAUUCUGGGGAAUUGGUGGCGUUUUGUCGCGGUGGGUCCCAGAUAUGCGAUGCGCCCCCCCCUUCUUCGGAAUUUGGAUGGAGCAAUGUUGCCGAUCAUUGCGAGAAUUGGGAAUUUCGUGAUUAUAUAAUUGUGAUUUCUUUCUUUUUUUUUUUUUUUUUAGGGGAAAUUAAUCUCAGUUUUGGCGAGAAAUUGGAUUUGAACGAUUCGUGGCCAAUCGUUCUUUUUGUAAAUACAGCGACGUGCAUUUAGGUAAGAUGAUAUAACGAGCUAGUGUCUUUUUAUUCUAGGGGAAAUUAGACUCUGCUAAAAUCAAAUUUUACAAUGCGAACGUAUGAAUGUUAAAAAAAAUCACUCGUUCCAAUCAUUUUCAACUGGUGUUAUUAUUAUUAUUAUUAUUAACUCGUGUAAUUUGAUCCGUCUAGUGAAACGUGAAUCGAGAUUUCAUUACACGGAUCGUAAAUAUUGUGCGUUUAUUAGAAGACGGAAUUGGAAUGAAAAAAAAAAAAGAAAAGACUCGUCUCUUAGCUAAUUGCAAUUACUUUUGAACUUUGCUUUUAUUAUUAACGCGUUAUAAUACAUCGAAACGAUCUAUGAUUUUCACAGAAAUAGUUCGAGCAAGGUGGCCGGUCGUAAUAAAAAUACUUUCGACUUUGUUACCGAAUUAUCGUCUCACCUUGUCUGAUCUUUAUCGACCUAUUUCACUUACGGUUGAAUUGCGCGGCCAUCGCGUCGCGCUUCGAAAUAUGUGUCACGUGGUGUCGUAGAAAAAAAAAAAAAAAGAGAGAGAAAAGAAAAGGGCGGUAAAAAUAAAUGCGAACCACCGAUGGAACAAGAUUUUCAACAACGUAGAAUAAUAGUGUAUAUAGUGUAUAUAUAUGAACGUUCCAUACGUAAUUCCAACGUACCGAGCUAUAAUAAAACAUCCAUAAAUAUAUAACCGCGACCAAGUAAUCGAUACUAUCCCACUGCAACAUAUUGUGCCACGAUCUUGUACGUAUACCAUUUAAUUAUAUGCCAAACAAUAGGAAGCACCAACUCAUCCAUCCCCGUUCCAUUUCGCGCUUUAAAACGUUUCAUCAUUCUCGAUCUUGUCAUUCCGAUUCUUUAAUAGCUUCAGAGCUAACCUUUUAAGUAGGAAUUCGUCUUUUCCACGCUCCCCUUUAAUCACUUUAUCUCUCGUUACUUUUUCCAGAAUUUCUUUCGAAACUUCUCCCUGCAUUUUCUUCGCUCUGAUGACAAACAAUUAUUCUUCGUUUCCUCUAUAAUUUAUUCAAUUCCAAUUCUUCGAUCGACGUCGUUCAUUCAUCUAACCAUCAAAUCCUCGCAGAUCUCACUCCCUCUAUCGAAUCAAAUUCAACUCGACUUUCCAACCAACAAUCACGAAGUAUCGACGAACCGUAUCACCGCGUGUUAAAGUGUCUCGUCUCUCGCACCUAUUCCGCUCAAGGACACGGAGCGGAGAGAUCAUACCAUCGCGACCUUGGAGGGACGACGCACGUGUUCUCUCGUACGACGCCUCAUGCAGGCCUUGAAAUUUGUACGGAUCGACAAGUUUCGGCGUGCCCCACGGUCAUCUCAGAUAUGCACGUAGAGAGGAUAAUCUGAUAAUCUCUUAGGGGAGCGACCAACAAUGACAAUUGCAUCACUGUAUACGUGCAUAUCCUCGUGCAUUAGUGGAUUUUUGCUUAGACACAUUAAUUUUUUUUUUCUUUUCCUUUGAGAAAUCUUGCGACUAAAUUUUUUAGGUUAUAAUUAUAUCUCGUGAAAUUUUCUUUACUUUUUCGAUUCCUCGGAGAGAAGAAGUAUUUUUGUAAGUAGUCUGAAAACUUUUGAAUUAGAAACUAGAUAGGGAUCUUGGUAGGCAGAACUUUUUGAGGUAUUAUCGUUUACAACGUGAAUUUAAGAAAGGAAAAUAAAGAAGCGUGUUGUAUUUCGGGAAAGAUUGCGGUCCAGAAAUAAAAACGUGUUGAGGCUUUUUAUCAAUUUCGAUGAUUUAUUGGCGAGAUCGUGGAGAUCGCGUGUCAUGGAAAGAUAAUGAUUAUCUUUCUUUUGGAUUUUAUGACAUCGUAACAUCGUGCAACGAUGAUUAUUAUUGAUUGUAUUGUUGAAUUUUAUAUUUUUGAAGAAUUUUGGAAAAGCUGUUCGAUCGUACGUUUCGCUUUGUUUGAGCAAGAUUGUAUUAAUUGUACAAGAUACGAUGAAAUUUUAGAUAAACGUGCGAGGAAACGUGUUUUUGUUCAUAUUUUAUAUUAAUUGUGUUUAAUUACAUAUUAAAAAAAAAAAAAAGAAAAAAGAUUUUCGAAUCAUUAUCGUUGUUGCAUUCUGUUCUUUUUUUAAACGUUCAAAUAUUAACAUAUCGAUAUUAUACUUCUCUUCAUCUCUUGAUUUGACUAAUUAGUCGUAAGAUCUUUCUUCGUUGCACAAGGUGUCAAGACGUACGAUAUUAAUUUUAUACUGAAAAAACAUGGAAGGAAUAUUAUUCAUUGAAUAUUUGAAUAGUAGAAAAUGUAUCUCGUUAAAUACGCAGCAAUAACACGAGUUACAUUGAAACUCUUUAUGAGUCUAAAGUAACAUAUAACAUAAGAAAAAUAAAUAUUAUUCAGUAAAUUAUCAGGAUAUUAACGGUUGAAAUAAUAUUUCUUCGUAUAUUUCUGUUAUUUUUAUAUAUAUAUAAUCUUCUUUGUAUUUCUAUUAUAAGUUAGAAUAGCUAGCGUUAAUAAUUUUUAAUGGAACGUGUUAAUAAUAUCGUACUAAAAAUUUAAUUUCAUAUGUGUGUCAUUCUAGAAAAACGAAACGUAAAUUCAAGGAUUCCUAUCGAGAUUCCAAAUAUAAAUUUACCUUUACCAUUAUUACACCCCGAUAAUUCCAAGGAUUCCAAAUUCUUCGAACCAAUAUAAUUUCCUCAUCAUCGUUUCUCCGAAUAUUUCCAAAAAAAAGAAAAAAAAAAUUUAGUUCGAAAAUAAUAGACUUUUAAAAAAAUUCGAAACAAGAAAUCAAACGAUCCCAUUUCUCUCGAUCCCUACUUUCUAAUUUUCUAAAUCUUUUUAAUCCCAAUUUCAAUUUUCUACAAUUAUCGAAUAUUUCAUCGUUAUAUCACCAUUUUGUAAAUAAUAAAGAAAUCGAGUUUUUAAAUAUUUUCAGAGAAUAAACGCAGAAAUUCAACUAUUCCUAUUAAAUCCAAAUAUAAACCCAACCUUUACCGUUAUUACACUCCAAUAAUCCCAAGGACUCCCAACCUCUGUAUCCCAAUAAUUACCUCGUCGAUAAACUGCAGACAUUCAUGCAUUUAUUAUACUUAAAAAUAUACACAACAGUAUAGAAAAUACGUAAAAAAAUGAUAUUCUCGUAUACAAAUCGUAUGUACAAAUUCUCAAUUCCUCGAUCUAAAAAUAUAAAAUUCUUCGUGAUCCACCUUCUUUAAAAAAAAAAGAAAAGAGAAAGAAAAAGAGCGCAAAAAUUAAACAACUCUGCAUCCCGUCUCUGCGAGAUCCAAUUUCUCGAAAAUCCAAUUAAAAAAAGAAGAGAGAAAAGAAGAGAAAUUCCGAAAAGAAAGGAAAGAAAGCAAAUCACGAAAACGUAAAUGUCUGGGAGAAUAUGGCGAGAGAUCGGUUCGGGACGGCUGGUUUCCAUCGUUGAUCGAGGCUCCGCCACGCUCGCUUUAACCUUUUCAACGUGCGAUCACUGACGUGUCCGCCGAUUAUAUAAAACGGGUCUGCCCUUGUCCCCUCUCGGAAUGAUCGAUUGGUCUCGCGUUUUCUGGCCGCGGAUUACCGCGACCGCCUCUGAACGGAUUCCUCGGUCGCGAAGAAGGUCAUCUUCCUUCGACGCGAUGCCAUCCUCAAGUCAUUGGACACUUGACUUACUUUUAAGAAAUAAAAAAAGAAAGAAGGAAAGAUCGCAGGAUGGAUCGGAUGAUCGAUGCAAUUACUAUUAUUAUUAUUAUUAUUUAGGAGGAGAAAAUUACAAAUCGCUUCACUUUUACGAUGGAUAAUUUAUCUUUUUCAACAUCUCUUUGAAUCUGUCUUACAUAGAAAUAUAUUUUCGUGUAAUUAUAUAAAAUAUGAGAGAAGAGGGGAGAGGUUAUUCGAAGGCUACUACUCGACUGUACUCGCUAUAAAAAGCGACCGUGUUCUCAAAAUUGAGAAAUCAAACGGUAUUUUCAAUUGGUAAUUAAUAGACAUACUAUUAUUCUAUCAAUUAAAAAAAAAAGAAGAGAAAAUAUCCGGAUGUUUUAAAAUUUUUCUGCCAAUUUUAUUUCCUUAAAAUUCAACUCAGAACUCUUACUUUACGAAUGAAUCACGAUCGUGUAACAUCAUGGAUUUAUCGCGGAAAUAAAUAAUUCGCAGAGAAGAGAAUGAAGAAGAGGAAGAAGAAGAAAAAAACGAAGUAAAGCAAACCGGCACGAAACAGCCUUUGAAUAUAUAUAUAUCAUUAAUCUGUCGAGGAAUCAAAGAAGGUGAGGAAUCGAAGAAAGCGGAAGCUGAAAGAGAUGGAGCGAAAAGGACGAUGGCGGGGGAGGGGAAGAGUUACGCGCGGAUCACCGGCAAUAAUAAACGCGGCGUCAGCAGCGAUUAUACAUUUCCCCGAGGCUCGAAAAUCGGGAAUUUUCGAAGCGUCCGCUCGUGGAGGCGCUCGAGGCUCAAGGUCGGGAUGGCCGACAGAUAAAGUUUCCUCGAAGCGGCACUGUACGAUCAAAACGAUCGUGACGUUGCUCGAGGUUAAGAUCUGUCCACGCUCUGGAUCCCGUACUUGAACUCGUCGUCCGCUGAAUCACGCCGAUAUCGAGGCGUAUACGAGCCAAGAUAACGAGAUACUCGUAUACGCGAGCGCGUGACACCUACGCAAAAGCUAACAAAAAAUAAAGAAGAAGAAGAAGAAGAAGAAGAAGAAAGAGAGAGAGAGAAAAAAAAGAAGAAUUACAUUAUUCCGGAUCGUGAAUAAUUUCCAAGCUGGCAUUGUUUUCGUCUGGUUUCGCUUAUAUAUAAUCACACACCAGCUGUGGUGUUUCGUUAUGGAUUUAAUCGAAUUUCGUUUCCUUCGAGCGCGAGGGAAGAGAGGAGAAGGAAGAAGAGAGCUUUACCGAAUCAAGGUCUAAUUCUACGAAAUCGACGUAUCGAGGUUGACGUUGCUCUUUCAUCCACUUUGUAAACAACGCCACGAAUGUUUUAAUAUAUUUUUAACAAUCGUUUUUUCCAUCGUUGAAAAAAAAAAAAAGAAAAAGAAAAGAAAAGAAGGAAAAAAUGAAAAUUGGAUGGAACGGAAUCGGUAAUGCUCGAUUGUUUCCCGAAUAACAUUGCGUAUGCUUAACGUUAUUUCUCUUUUUUAACAAACUAUCGACCAAAUCGUACCGCCUCGAUGAAUAUAUCACGAACGAGUCGUCUUUAUUUCUUUGUGCGCAGUGAAAUUUAAACUAUCGAACUAAGGAAAGGAAUAAAAGUUAUUUAUUGUUUAAUCAACGUGUAUAUCUCGCCGUAAGAAAAAUAUUUUACAAAACCGAAGGAAAGAAACUAUUAUAGAACGUACGGUUUUAUUUUUACAAAGUAAAGGAGAAACAAGUAAUGUGUAUAAAAUAUAAAUAUGAAUAUCGAGGAAAUUUAUUUAAAAGAUUGCACACUGUGUAUCCAAUUCGUAAUUACAUUAUCUUUCAAAUUUCCAGUUUGAAAGAGUUCAUUCUACUUACGAGGAGCGCUGCAAAGAUUUCAAAUUUCUAAUAUUUCCUUUCUUCAAAUAUAAUAAUUCUCCGUGUGUGUAUACGCGUGAAUAAACAUAUCUCCGCAUUUCUACAAAUAAACAAUCCUAAAUAUACCGAA